UACGGAGGGAGCUAGCGUUGUUCAGAAUUACUGGGCGUAAAGCGUGCGUAGGUGGUUUGUUAAGUCUGAUGUGAAAGCCCUGGGCUCAACCUGGGAAUUGCAUUGGAUACUGGCAGGCUAGAGUGCGGUAGAGGGUAGUGGAAUUCCCGGUGUAGCAGUGAAAUGCGUAGAGAUCGGGAGGAACAUCUGUGGCGAAGGCGACUACCUGGACCAGCACUGACACUGAGGCACGAAAGCGUGGGGAGCAAACAGGAUUAGAUACCCUGGUAGUCCACGCCCUAAACGAUGCGAACUGGAUGUUGGGCUCAACUUGGAGCUCAGUAUCGAAGCUAACGCGUUAAGUUCGCCGCCUGGGGAGUACGGUCGCAAGACUGAA
rnacentral:rRNA from 1 species